rnacentral:rRNA from 1 species
UACGUAGGGGGCAAGCGUUGUCCGGAUUUAUUGGGCGUAAAGAGCGUGUAGGCGGCCAGACAGGUCCGUUGUGAAAACUCGAGGCUCAACCUCGAGACGUCGACGGAAACCGUCUGGCUAGAGUCCGGAAGAGGAGUGUGGAAUUCCUGGUGUAGCGGUGAAAUGCGCAGAUAUCAGGAAGAACACCUAUGGCGAAGGCAGCACUCUGGGACGGUACUGACGCUGAGGUGCGAAAGCGUGGGGAGCAAACGGG